AAACUGAGACCAGAUCAUGCGAGGAACUUGUCCAAAUCUUGCAGCAUGUUAAUUGCAGACCUGGAACUAGAACUUGUCUCCUGACUCCUGAGUCUAUUGUCAUUUUCAUUAGCAGCAUUUCCAGGACUGACACAGGCUGCCACAAACAUGAAACAGCUGCACAGCAAAUUAAUCUCCAGAUGGUUACACCAAGUUGGCAAGAUUUGAACUUCUUUUCCUCAUGUCUUCACCAUCUCAUCAAAAGUCUGGAUAUAUUUUCAUUCAAGGGCCCCAGCUGAGAACCUAAAAAGGUAGAAGAAAGAAAGAUUUUUCCUCCCCUAUAAUUCCAUGAGGAAACUCAAACAGCCCCAUGAAGAAGCCCAUAGGGAGAGGAACUAUAUUGCCUAGCCAAUAGCUAUAUGAGUAAACCACUUUGGAAGUGGACCUUCCAAUCCCUGCUAAGUCUUCAGAUAAUGGGAGCCAUAGCUGACAUCUGACUGCAAUAUCAUGAGAUGCUCCUAAAAU